AUGGCUCGUACAAAGCAGACUGCCCACAAAUCCACCGGUGGUAAAGCACCCAGGAAACAACUGGCUACAAAAGCCGCUCACAAGAGUGCACCCUCUAAUGGAGGGGUGAAGAAACCUCAUCGUUACAGGCCUGGUACUGAACUUCUGAUCUGCAAGCUCCCCUUUCAGCGUCUGGUGCGAGAAAUUGCUCAGGACCUCAAAACAGAUCUGCGCUUCCAGAGUGCAGCUAUUGGUGCUUUGUAGGAGGCAAGUGAGGCCUAUCUGGUUGGCCUUUUUGAAGAUACCAACCUGUGUGCUAUCCCUGCCAAACGUGUAACAAUUAUGCCAAAAUAUAUCCAGCUAGCACACUGCAUACGCGGAGAACGUGCUUAA
rnacentral:lncRNA from 1 species